rnacentral:lncRNA from 1 species
AGGCAUAUAGAGUUCCUGGGCCAGGGAUCAGAUUCAACCUCAGUUGCAACCUAAGCUGCAGCUUCAGCGACACUGGGUCAGGAUAGAACCCCAGCACUCCUAAGAUGCCACCAAUUCCCUUGGACCACAGUAGGAACUCCAAAAAACCAUUUCCCCAAGAGUUUUGAGGACCGUGGCAGGCAGGAAAAUGGCCCUCAAGCAUGUUUACAUCUUAAUCCCUGAAACCUGUGAAUCUGCUGCCUUAUAGGACAGGUGUGAUGAAGUUAAGAAUCUUGAGAUGGGAGUUCCCGUCGUGGCGCAGUGGUUAACGAAUCCGACUAGGAACCAUGAGGUUGCGGGUUCGGUCCCUGCCCUUGCUCAGUGGGUUAACGAUCUGGCGUUGCUGUGAGCUGUGGUGUAGGUUGCAGACGCGGCUCGGAUCCCACGUUGCUGUGGCUCUGGCGUAGGCCAGUGGCUACAGCUCCGAUUCGACCCCUAGCCUGGGAACCUCCAUAUGCCUGGGUGUGGCCAUAGAAAGAAAAAGAAAAAAAGAGUGAAAUGUAAAAUCCAUCCCAGACUAUAUUCCUAAAAUGUCAAACUUAGAAGAUGACAUAAGCAAGGGAACCCUUCACUUAAAGGCACAUAAGUUGCUCAGAUUCUUCCAUCUGGGGAGGAGGAAGGGACCUGGGCACACCCACGUGCCCCCCACCAGAUUUCCAGGGGGAGACUGGCUGUGAGCAGGGCUCUGGGAGCAGGAGGGACAGAAGUCAAAUGACUGUCACAUUCUCUUCCUGGGUCAUUUCUAUAAACAAAGCAGGCACACAUCAGUUAUCAGUUGUUAUCAUUGUUCCUGUGGGAUCAAGGGUCAGAGUCCAGGCCCAGCUUUGCUCUGGGAUUUGCCCGGAAGACUUGGAGCAAGUCCUCCUACCUUGCUGCACCUCCAGGACCUCGGCUAGGAAGAGAAGGGAUUUGGAGGGGUUGAGGGGGGGAAAUCUCCCUGAGGUCCCUUCCACCCCCGAGUGUCUAAGACCCCUUCUGGCUUUGGUUGAGAGAAAGUGCUGGCUAGUACAGGGUGAGCUUGCUAUCCUAAACCACUAAGCCCAGUCCAGCUACCCUGGGCUCUGCACUUACUCACCCUGCUACUCAAUAGCUGUGUGUGACCUUGGCCAGCUUUCAUAACCUCCCAAUGCCUGUCUCCCCAUGUAUAAACUGGGACUAACAAUAGUAUCCACAUCAGUAUUGCAAUGAGGAGUAAAUGAGAUACAAAAGAAGCCUUUGCAAUCAGGCCACUACAGAAGACACAUUUUUCACCAUCACUUGGAGUUUCUCGCCCACCUGUUCGCGACAUUUCUCCACCGAGACAUGCAAUCUUUGCUGAUCACCAACACAACAGACUCCCAUGGAUGGACGGAGCCAUGAAAGAGAUCCAAAACUAUUGUAUCGGAAGACUGUUCAGUGUGGGAUAUUAUAAAACACAUCUUACCAGCACACCAGAACUUCGAAGCAGACUGCGCUCAGAAUGACAGCACUAAGGAGCAGAGCUUUGGUCAGAGUUGGUGGGAGGAGCUUGGGCAGGAUGCGUGGGCAGUAUCUGGUACCCAUUGCCUCAAGGGCCGGCCCCUCAAAGCAAGGAGGGAUGCAAAUCAGUGAGGCUGUUAUUCUUCUAAGGAUAACCUUGAAGGGCUGACUUUUCAAAAAAAGUAAAUCAGUUGCAAACACCGGUACUCUUACAGGUAACAAAACACUUGGAUAUAGCAAGGUCUUGAGUUCAGGGGCAAAAGGGUGGAGAAAUACUCCUUAGCCAUCCUAGGUAACCACCCCAGCUGGGGCCAAGGUCCAGCAGGCACACAGACACACAAGCAUGGCAGUGGGGGGGUGCCAGUUUUCAGGGAGAACCCUCCCCCACCAAACCCUAUCACAAUAGCUUAUUCCCCUUGCCUGUCCAGAUUUUUGAGGGUGGAUAAAGGGCCCUGACAGGAAGAUGCCUGUUCCCUUUGCAGAAGGUUAGGUAUUCAGACAAGAGAGCUAUUGUGAGAUUUUGAAGAAACACAGCAAUUCCUCCAACCCUUCUCAUGCAUAAAUACUGCCUUCUGGAUAUGACAAAGUUGGGGACGGAGACACUUCAUUGUGGCAAUGAAAAAAAACAAACAAAUAAAUGCAACAGUCCAAGUGGGCAAACAGAGAUCAAGUCCCAACUCUUCUAGCUGAAAACAUGGUUAAUGUACUAAGGCUCCUGGGACCCAUCUUGGCAGCUUUCCAAGAGAUAUUAGUUUGCAUUAACACACUGAAAGAGAAGGUCAGAUGAAUUAAAAGUAAGAAGGUAAUUUUGAAGGAGGACAUCUUCAUAACAGUACCAGCACCUACCACGCGUGGCUCAAGGUGGCUGCCUGAUAAACUCUCGGUGAGAACUCGCAGCUGGCACUGAGGUCACGACUAUGCUCGGACUUUUCAUGUAGAGCCAGGAUGCAAGAUAGUAUGGGGACAUAGCUUUGAUUAGAGACUUUAAGAAGACGACGCUGGGGAGAUCUUUACUCAAUUCUGAACAGAAACUGAAAAGUAUUACCAUCUUCUGGCUAUUAAGAGUGACCCUAUACUUCAAAGCAAUUAUGAUCUUUAAAGGCAGCCUAGUAAAAGGUGUAUUGGCAUGUACCAAAUUUCUUUCUUUCUCUCUUUCUUUCUUUCUUGCUACACCCAUGGCCUUCAGAAGUUCCUGGGCCAGGGAUCAAACCCAAGCCACAGCUGUGACAAUGCUGGAUCCUUAAACCUCUGAGCCGCCAGAGAACUCCCCAAAUUUAUCUCUGACUCAAACUUCUCAACAGUCACCCACCCCCCAAAUAUAAAGUUAUACCUGCCCCCCCACUCUGCUCUCUCUUUUUUUAAAGAACCUAGAUUGUGAAACGCACACACUUCCUUUAGCCAAAACCAUCUGUUAACAGUUCACCUGACACCAAGACCCUUUCCCAAACUGACAUUUCUCUAUAACAAGUCCCCAGGGAAAAUGCUCCUGACAGCACAGGCUUUCCCAAAACCUACUGUGAUAACAUCAAGGGAGAAUAACACCCCCAACCAACCGCCACCCUACCUACAGCCAGGAGACCAAGAUAGUUAAGGAGGAGGGAAUAAAAUGAGCUCCCAUUGCUCUUUAAGACUUUUAGGAAGGAGCAGAGCAACUACCUGCCUGGAGGACCAAGAGUGCAAAAGGACAGGAACUUUCCAACCCAAGUCGCACUGAUGACUGCUCCUGGCAGUUUUCCAGACAUCUCUGCCGGGGACAUGGGUCACUGCCUAUGCCCUGCCAAAAUCAUCCUGAGGGUGACUCUGCAGUGACUUAGAUUCCCCAGCCACGUGAAGCAUUAGGAAAAGUCAUGUCAAAUGUCAGAGUGACAUCUGGAACCUAUGAUGAGGAACCCCACGUCUUAGCGAAAGGACCAAAAGGGGUACCCUCAGCUGAGAUCACAAAGGGAAUCUGGCAUGGCAAUGCUUUGGGUGGCCAGCUGGGCAGAAGGCUGGUUGGUUAUUUUUAAUCGAGAAAACUGAAUGGGAAGGGAGCAAAUUUGAAUUCCUAUGAUCUCGUGAGGUCCCUUCCAGCUCCAAGAUGCUACCAAAGGAACACUGCAGAUGCACAUACAUAUGCACGGGCUUCUUUAUAAAAACGUAUAGACAAAUGUGUGAAUAUAUAUGAGUACUGUAUUCACACUUUUAAACACAAAGAACUGGAAAUGCACACUGCUGAGGAGAUUCAAAGGCCCAUGAGCUGCUUGGCAGCCACAGCUGGAAUACACAGAUGUCACUGGCAGAUCUGAACAGAGCCCC